rnacentral:misc_RNA from 1 species
UUAAAAAAUCAUCGAAAUCUAGGACAGCAUUCCUAAGUAAUUAUUAUCAGGCCCACUAUCAGGAGAAAGAUAAUUUUCUGAUAACAAAAAAAAAGAGAGUAGUAGCAGUAUGAUUAGUAGCAGCCAUAAUAAAAGAAGAUAGGUUGAUGAAAUGUAAUUGAAGGGGCACCUUUUUCACCUUGUUGCUGGAUUCCUUGAGACUCUGAGGGGACGAGGGAGAAUUUUUGGCUGGAGUCUUCUGUGGACUUGUUGAAGGUUGUGAGGGAGUAGUAACAUCACAAUCGGAAGGCGGAGCUUGAAUAACGGAAACUACUGGAGGAGGUGAAAUAGAGGCAGAAGCGGAAGUGGAUACACAGGCUGAGGUUGAAGCUAAGGGUUCCGAAGGUGCUAGCGGGCUUUCUACCGGAACGACACUCAGGCUUUUCGGGGGAGUUUGCUUAGGAGUUGGCACUUUUCCACUCAUCGGUGGUAACAUUGUCCUAGUCUUAGGCUUCCUCCACCCCUAUGUAACACCAAUUAUAUUUAUUAUAAUACACGAGAAGGGGACGAUAAAGAUCGAGAAGCUGUGAAAUAAAUUAAAAUAUUUUCCGUGUAAAAAUAACGGUUAAUUUUACCUCAACAAUUUUUUCUAAUCGUAAAUAGUAUCUUAUUCAGUUAAAUGAUAUUUUAUUGUUAUUAAAUUUAUUUAUUGUUAAAUAACAUUAUUUUAUAAUUAAUGAACUUUAUUGAACUUCUCUUAGAUAUUGCAGAAUAUUUUAAAAAUAUUUUCUGUAUUACUAAAUAAAGGAUUAAGACCAUUGAACAAUUAUAUGUUAUCAUAUCAUCAAAUAAGUUGUAUAAUAUGAGAAUUAUUAAUCAUUAACGAAUAAAAGAGUUUUGUUGUUGAUAUAUAUAGGAUAUUUGAAACUGAUUUGUCAUAAUCACAGCAUUUUUCUACACCCUGAAUCCUCAAUGUAACCUUGACCUUGACGUUAAAGAUCAAAUUUCUUUGUUGCAUCAUAUUCUACUUAUCGUGAAGACGAAAGGUAUCCAAGGAACCGUGGUUCGCAACUCGAUAGUUCUCUUGAAAAAAAAAAAAGAUAUGUUGAAGUUCCAUUAAUUUUAAAACUUGCUUUGCAAUAUGCUUAUGCACAAUUGGCAGUUAAAUACAGGAAAAGUAGCAUUUAUCGUCACAUAUGGAUAUCCCAAAUCCACUAUUAUAAAUUCGAUA